rnacentral:rRNA from 1 species
CGCGUGUGUGAUGAAGGUCUUCGGAUCGUAAAGCACUGUCGGGAGGGACGAAUAAGGGCCGGGUGAACAAUCCGGUCUGACGACUGUACCUCCAAAGGAAGCACCGGCUAACUCUGUGCCAGCAGCCGCGGUAAUACAGAGGGUGCUAGCGUUGUUCGGAAUUAUUGGGCGUAAAGCGCGUGUAGGCGGCCAACCAAGUCGGAUGUGAAAGCCCUCGGCUUAACCGAGGAAGUGCGUUCGAUACUAGUUGGCUUGAGUACCGGAGAGGGUGGUGGAAUUCCCGGUGUAGAGGUGAAAUUCGUAGAUAUCGGGAGGAACACCAGUGGCGAAGGCGACCACCUGGACGGAUACUGACGCUGAGACGCGAAAGCGUGGGGAGCAAACAGGAUUAGAUACCCUGGUAGUCCACGCUGUAAACGAUGAGCGCUAGGUGUUGCGGGUGUUGACCCCUGCAGUGCCGAAGCUAACGCAUUAAGCGCUCCGCCUGGGAAGUACGGCCGCAAGGCUAAAACUCAAAGGAAUUGACGG